UGUUAGCAGCACAGGUAAAUCUCUCGAAAGC
rnacentral:piRNA from 1 species